GUGGGGAAUUUUGGACAAUGGGCGCAAGCCUGAUCCAGCAAUGCCGCGUGCAGGAAGAAGGCCUUCGGGUUGUAAACUGCUUUUGUACGGAACGAAACGGUCCGGGUUAAUACCCUGGGCUAAUGACGGUACCGUAAGAAUAAGCACCGGCUAACUACGUGCCAGCAGCCGCGGUAAUACGUAGGGUGCAAGCGUUAAUCGGAAUUACUGGGCGUAAAGCGUGCGCAGGCGGUUUUGUAAGACGGGCGUGAAAUCCCCGGGCUCAACCUGGGAAUUGCGCUUGUGACUGCAAGGCUGGAGUGCGGCAGAGGGGGAUGGAAUUCCGCGUGUAGCAGUGAAAUGCGUAGAUAUGCGGAGGAACACCGAUGGCGAAGGCAAUCCCCUGGGCCUGCACUGACGCUCAUGCACGAAAGCGUGGGGAGCAAACAGGAUUAGAAACCCUUGUAGUCC
rnacentral:rRNA from 1 species